GGACAAUCUCUGCCUGCGAAUGGGUCCUUUUCUCACCGACAGGGACUCGAGGAGUACAGUGUCGAGGGGAUUCUCCUGAUCAAAAACGCCAGCGAUUGCUAGCGAGAGCCAAUUCAAACCCUUCCGAUGCCCGAUCAACGCAUAACUGAACGUCUGCACCCCGAGCAUAUCGACUCGAAGCCUUCCGCCGAAUUAGAGCUCAUAAAGAUAAAGCCGUGUGUCGCUUGAUACGAUACCCGCCGGUUAGCCGGCGGGGGAACUGCUUUGUCUUAAGGCGCACAGGGCGGCUGGGACUGAACCAUGGCAACGGCCAUGGUAUCUAAAUUGGACGGGUUUACGACUUAAUAUAAAUAAACAUAAGUGGCGAUUCCGACGCUUGCGAGGGGCAGCUGCAAAUUAAAGCUUA